rnacentral:misc_RNA from 1 species
AAGUCGUAACAAGGUUUCCGUAGGUGAACCUGCGGAAGGAUCAUUAACACUUUCAUUUUAUUGAAAAUUUAUUUUUCAAUAAUUUACUUACCCACAUUUUUGGAUGAAUUAUCUCUUUUUUAUUCUUUUUUUAAAUUUUAUACCCCAAACAAAAACUAAAUAUAUUAUUUCUAACAUUUAUACAAAAAAGUUUAAGAAAAAACAUAAAAAACAACUCUUAACAACGGAUAUCUAGGCUCUC